UUUAUUUUUUAAAAAUUUUUUUAGGGUUUAUUCAUUUUUUAGAGACAGAGCAUGAGUGGGGGAGGGGUAGAGAGAGAGGGAGACACAGAAUCCGAAGCAGGCUCCAGGCUCUGAGCUGUCAGCAGAGAGCCUGAGGCGGGGCUCGAACCCACGAACUGUGAGAUCAUGACCUGAGCUAAAGUCAGACGCUCAGCCGACUGAGCCACCCAGGCUCCCCAUGACUGAGAAUUUUAAGUUCCUGCAUUGGAGAUGUCCGAAGGGUGCUCUUUUUUGUGCUUUCUUUGAUGUGUCUACAUACAGAAUCCCGUCCCCUGUGUUUAGAGAGAGUUUUACUUCUUCCUGACCAUGUCGGUUGCCCGUGACUCCUUUUUCUUGCCUAGCUGCUCUGGCUAGAAUUUCCAGCAGCGAUGAAAGCAGCCAAUCUGCUCUUUAUCAUGUUGAGGAAGUUCCCUUCUAUUUCUGGUUUCCUGGGUGUGUUUUUUAUCGUGAAAGGAGGUUGGGUUUUGCGAAAGAAGAGGUUUCUUUUCUGCACCGAUUGAGAUGAUCAUGUGUUUCCCCCCUCCAUUCUAUUAAUGUGGGGUAUUAUGUUGAUUGAUUUUUUUCCCAUGUUGAACAGCCUUGCAUUCCCGGGAUAAAUCCCAUUUAGUCAUGGUGUGUAACCUUUUUCAUAUGCUGCUGAGUCUGGUUUGCUAGUAUCUUGUUGAGGAUUUUACACUAUCGUCAUAAAGGAUGUUGGUCUAUAGUCUUUUUUUCUUGUGAUGUCUUCGGCUUUGAUAUCAGGGUAAUGCUGACCUUGUGGAAUGACCUCAUGUUCUUUUCUCUCUUAUUUUUUUUUUUUGAAGACUUUGAGGAAUACUGGUGUUAAUUCUUCUUUAAACAUUUGGUAGAAUUCACUGGGAAAGCCAUCUGUUCCUGAAUUUUUCUUUCUUGGGAGGUUUUUAAUUACUGAUUCAACCCCUUUAAUGUUCUAGUGUUGCAGGUGAGUGGGAGAGACGCUGGUCCUUGUCUCACCGAGUUGAGCAAUGAAUCUCGCAGACACGAGAGUGAGCAAAGAGACAGAGUAUACUGAGCCAAGUACAAAGCUCUCAAGGGAUCCCUCACUGCCAUGGGGGACCAAGGACAGUGACAGUUCUGGCUUCUUCAAGCUGAAGAGGGACAGCAGAAGGGUAUGGCACUCAGAGUCUACCAAGGGUCUGUCGAGUGGUCCCCGGUUAUGGCUCCACAGGAAGGCUGGCAGGCAUGAGGCGGCACAGACAUCGGCAGCCACAAAGAGAAAACCACAAAUGACUGUGCUGACCAACAAGAUGGCGCCCGUAAGAUCCUGCCCCCAAUUUCCAAACCACUCUUCCUUUUUCUCAUGUUCAACUGUUGGACAUUUGCCGUGAUUGUUGUUGAAACUGAACUAAAGAAGUAAAUGUUUAACUUGGGCAUUUAUCUCAGGAUCCAAUAAAAAGUCAUCUGUCAGGGGCGCCUGGGUGGCUCAGUCAGUUGAGCUCCUGACUCUUGGUUUCAGCUCAGGUCAUGAGCUCACGGUUCGGGAGUUUGAGCCCUGCAUCAGUCUCUGCACUGACAGCACGGAGCCUGCUUUGGAUUCUCUCUCUCUCUCCCUUCCCAUCCUCGCUCUCUCUUCUCUCUCUCUCUCUCUAAAAUAAAAUAAAAAGCCAUUUAUCGGAAAGGCACCUCCGUAGAACAGUUUGUAUGGACUGAAACCCUGGACCUGUGGGUAUUUCUUACCCUGAUGAGUGCUAUGGGAAGGGUAGAAGGCCGUGGGAGGUGAGUCUUCUGGGACAGUUUCCUUAAGUGUUUUUUUUAAGAUAUCAUUUACUCGUUCUACUUUACCAGGGGAUCGAGGUCUCCAAGAGCAGUCCGAGCGAUAAUCUUUCCUCAGGGCCUUCGACAUCUCUUGGCUAAUGCCAGCUUUGAAAGAGGGCCCGUGAUCACUUUGCAGAUUUUUAGGUAAGCUGAACCUGGGCAUUAUUUUAUAAAGCAGAGCUUUUAUUACUUCUGUGCUUUUUCCGUUUUGCAGGGGAAGGCCUCUACCCAAUUAGAAAAGCAUCAGCCCGUACCAACAGAUGCUGGAGCCCUUUUGACCUUGGCACCUGCAUGCACUCUGAUUGCCCGUCUUCUCCUGGAUGGCUUCCAGUUCUCUGACUGCCUGGGAGGGCAAGGUCGUGGUUCAAAGGAUUGUUUCUAAGACAGACGUCACAGGCCAAAACUACUUGUUGAACUGUCCUUGACAGAUUUUUCCUGCAUCGAUCUGACCAUGAGAUAGUACUGUGCUGAGUACUUCCCUCAGGAGGCCAGGACUCUCCACCCCCCAGGCGAUACUGAGGCCAAGCCUGGGAACAACCACCACUACAACAAACUUCAUGCACUUCUCUUUGAGCAUUUGUGGAUCCAAUCUUUCCCAAUUUUUCCGAACACCUUCCAGAGGAGUUUCGCAGCUCGAGAUCCCGA